rnacentral:rRNA from 1 species
UACGGAGGGUGCAAGCGUUAUCCGGAUUCACUGGGUUUAAAGGGUGCGUAGGUGGGUCUGUAAGUCAGUGGUGAAAUCUCCGAGCUUAACUUGGAAACUGCCAUUGAUACUAUAGCUCUUGAAUAUUGUGGAGGUCAGCGGAAUAUGUCAUGUAGCGGUGAAAUGCUUAGAUAUGACAUAGAACACCAAUUGCGAAGGCAGCUGGCUACGCAUAUAUUGACACUGAGGCACGAAAGCGUGGGGAUCAAACAGG